rnacentral:rRNA from 1 species
UACGUAGGGUCCGAGCGUUGUCCGGAAUUAUUGGGCGUAAAGAGCUCGUAGGCGGUUUGUCGCGUCUGCUGUGAAAUCCCGAGGCUCAACCUCGGGCCUGCAGUGGGUACGGGCAGACUUGAGUUCGGUAGGGGAGACUGGAAUUCCUGGUGUAGCGGUGAAAUGCGCAGAUAUCAGGAGGAACACCGGUGGCGAAGGCGGGUCUCUGGGCCGAUACUGACGCUGAGGAGCGAAAGCGUGGGGAGCGAACAGG